rnacentral:rRNA from 1 species
UACGGGGGGGGCAAGCGUUGUUCGGAAUUACUGGGCGUAAAGGGCUCGUAGGCGGCCAACUAAGUCGGACGUGAAAUCCCCAGGCUCAACCUGGGAACUGCGUCCGAUACUGGAUGGCUUGAAUUCGGGAGAGGGAUGCAGAAUUCCAGGUGUAGCGGUGAAAUGCGUAGAUAUCUGGAGGAACACCUGUGGCGAAGGCGACCCCCUGGUUGGAUACUGACGCUGAGACGCGAAAGCGUGGGGAGCAAACAGG